CACUCCUGCGGGAGGCAGCAGUGGGGAAUAUUGCACCAUGGGCGCAAGCCUGAUGCAGCCAUGCCGCGUGUAUGAAGAAGGCCUUCGGGUUGUAAAGUACUUUCAGCGGGGAGGAAGGCGAUAAGGUUAAUAACCUUGUUGAUUGACGUUACCCGCAGAAGAAGCACCGGCUAACUCCGUGCCAGCAGCCGCGGUAAUACGGAGGGUGCAAGCGUUAAUCGGAAUUACUGGGCGUAAAGCGCACGCAGGCGGUCUGUCAAGUCGGAUGUGAAAUCCCCGGGCUCAACCUGGGAACUGCAUUCGAAACUGGCAGGCUAGAGUCUUGUAGAGGGGGGUAGAAUUCCAGGUGUAGCGGUGAAAUGCGUAGAGAUCUGGAGGAAUACCGGUGGCGAAGGCGGCCCCCUGGACAAAGACUGACGCUCAGGUGCGAAAGCGUGGGGAGCAAACAGGAUUAGAUACCCCGGUAGUCCCAU
rnacentral:rRNA from 1 species